AGCAACAAGGUGUCUGGUGGUAUUACCUGAGAUACCGAUGGUGGAAGCGGCUGACUAGCCGGCACAGCUCUGCUCAUAUUAUUAACAGCCGCACUUCGUCCACUUUCAACUCUCUUCAUCGCCUCGGAGGAGAGAAGGAUCUGAUUCGGACACAGGGAGACGGGGUCCGAGGAGAGAAGGAUCUGAUUUGGACACAGGGAGAUGGGGUCCAGGGCCGUCAGGAAUCAGACCACAUGCUCUUCUGCCAUUCUCAUCUUCAGCACUGGUUGCUUGGUAACGGACUACAGGCUUUGCUCUCUUUAUCAGGCUCUUCUGGACUGUAAAGGCACAGCCUGCCCCCAACACCACCAGCACACCACCAGAAACCCUACACUAAAGGCUUCAACAGGCCAUUUUCAUACUUUCUGGAGCCAGGUAGUCUAUAGGCCCAUACAUUUCAAUACAUUGUGAAAAUACACUCAUUUUAUGCAAAUUCCAUAAGAACUGUUAGUCUAAUUAAAAGGGAAUCAGUCUUCUUUUCAAUAAUUGUCAGGCCUUAGUACACUGAUAGGCAACAAUCAUUGUUUGAUAAAUGUUUUAUUUAGCAAUUCUGUGGAAAAACAGCUAAAUUGACAAAGCUAGGCUACAUCUUAGAAACCAUAGCCUAAGAUUGCAAAAGCCUAAAACCUAUACUUUUGUGUCUCUUAUAUGUAUUGUGCUCAAAGGGACAAUAAAACAUGAGGCAUUGUGGAAAAAAAUUAAUUUUAUUUUAUAUUA